rnacentral:rRNA from 1 species
AUGAAGCUAGUACAACUCCCAAAGACCUUGAGAAUCACGGCGGCGAGGGCCAGCCCCAACCAGAGUGUGCGUGCGACGGUCCUGGACAGAACAAGAGUCAACGCCAAUGAUGACGCGACAACAAGAAUCGGUAAGUUGACCAGCAAAAAACAGAUUCAUGGUAAGUCGAGGAACAUGAUCAACAUCAGGAACAGAAUAAGAAGGAGUGGUAAGAUUGCCCCUACUAGCAACAGAAAGUGGAGUACCAUCAACAGUGAAGACAUGAACAGGAGAAUCCAGCAAUUGAAGAGAGGACAAAGUGGAAGAAUGAGAAGACAUAUGAAAAGAAGCUCCAGAUUCCAGAACCCAUGGGGAUGUACCUGA